UAGGGAAUCUUCCGCAAUGGGCGAAAGCCUGACGGAGCAACGCCGCGUGAGUGAUGAAGGUCUUCGGAUCGUAAAACUCUGUCAUUAGGGAAGAACAAAUGUGUAAGUAACUAUGCACGUCUUGACGGUACCUAAUCAGAAAGCCACGGCUAACUACGUGCCAGCAGCCGCGGUAAUACGUAGGUGGCAAGCGUUAUCCGGAAUUAUUGGGCGUAAAGCGCGCGUAGGCGGUUUUUUAAGUCUGAUGUGAAAGCCCACGGCUCAACCGUGGAGAAUCAUUGGAAAGUGGAAAACUUGAGUGCAGAAGAGGAAAGUGGAAUUCCAUGUGUAGCGGUGGAAUGAGCAGAGAUAUGGAGGAACACCAGUGGCGAAGGCGACUUUCUGGGCUGUAACUGACGCUGAUGUGCGAAGGAGUGGGGAUCAAACAGG
rnacentral:rRNA from 1 species